rnacentral:rRNA from 1 species
AUUGAACGCUGGCGGCAGGCUUAACACAUGCAAGUCGAACGGUAACAGGAAGAAAGCUUGCUUUCUUUGCUGACGAGUGGCGGACGGGUGAGUAAUGCUUGGGAAUCUGCCUUAUGGAGGGGGAUAACUACGGGAAACUGUAGCUAAUACCGCGUAAUAUCUUUGGAUUAAAGUGUGGGACCUUCGGGCCACAUGCCAUAAGAUGAGCCCAAGUGAGAUUAGGUAGUUGGUGAGGUAAAGGCUCACCAAGCUGACGAUCUCUAGCUGGUUUGAGAGGAUGACCAGCCACACUGGAACUGAGACACGGUCCAGACUCCUACGGGAGGCAGCAGUGGGGAAUAUUGCACAAUGGGCGCAAGCCUGAUGCAGCCAUGCCGCGUGAAUGAAGAAGGCUUUCGGGUUGUAAAGUUCUUUCAGCGAUGAGGAAGGUGCAUUAUCUAAUAGGUGAUGUAAUUGACGUUAGUCGCAGAAGAAGCACCGGCUAACUCCGUGCCAGCAGCCGCGGUAAUACGGAGGGUGCGAGCGUUAAUCGGAAUAACUGGGCGUAAAGGGCACGCAGGCGGUUGUCUAAGUCAGAUGUGAAAGCCCCGAGCUUAACUUGGGAAUUGCAUUUGAGACUGGGCGACUAGAGUCCUCUAGGGAGGGGUAGAAUUCCACGUGUAGCGGUGAAAUGCGUAGAGAUGUGGAGGAAUACCGAAGGCGAAGGCAGCCCCUUGGAGAGAGACUGACGCUGAGGUGCGAAAGCGUGGGUAGCAAACAGG